AAUAAGUGCAGCCGUGGAUAUCCGUGCCCAACGUUUGACCGUCCGUCUUAUUUGAAAAAUUUAAAAAUAUUUAGUUACACAUAAAGUAUUAUUCAUGUUUUAUCAUCUAAUGGAAAUAAAAAUACUAAUCAUAAAAAAAUUUAAAUAAGACAAACGAUCAAACGUUGAAUGUGAAUAGUGCAAAACUGUACUUAUU
rnacentral:pre_miRNA from 1 species